CCUACGGGUGGCAGCAGUGGGGAAUAUUGGACAAUGGGCGAAAGCCUGAUCCAGCCAUGCCGCGUGUGUGAAGAAGGCCUUCGGGUUGUAAAGCACUUUCAGUGGGGAAGAAAGCCUUGGGGCUAAUACCCUCGAGGAAGGACAUCACCCACAGAAGAAGCACCGGCUAACUCCGUGCCAGCAGCCGCGGUAAUACGGAGGGUGCGAGCGUUAAUCGGAAUUACUGGGCGUAAAGCGCGCGUAGGCGGUCUGAUAAGCCGGUUGUGAAAGCCCCGGGCUGAACCUGGGAACGGCAUCCGGAACUGUCAGGCUAGAGUGCAGGAGAGGAAGGUAGAAUUCCCGGUGUAGCGGUGAAAUGCGUAGAGAUCGGGAGGAAUACCAGUGGCGAAGGCGGCCUUCUGGACUGACACUGACGCUGAGGUGCGAAAGCGUGGGUAGCAAACAGGAUUAGAUACCCGGGUAGUC
rnacentral:rRNA from 1 species